UACGUAGGGUGCAAGCGUUGCCCCGGAUUUAUUGGGCGUAAAGGGCGCGUAGGCGGCUCUGCACGUUCGUUGUGAAAUCGCCCGGCUCAACUGGGCGGGGUCAGCGGAUACGGCAGAGCUUGAGCAAGCUAGGGGGCAAUGGAAUUCCCGGUGUAGUGGUGGAAUGCGUAGAUAUCGGGAGGAACACCAGUGGCGAAGGCGGUUGCCUGGGGGCUUUGCUGACGCUGAUGCGCGAAAGCGUGGGGAGCGAGUCCGG
rnacentral:rRNA from 1 species